rnacentral:lncRNA from 1 species
CACGGGCGCCCAGCCCGCUCACCUCCAGCCGCGCCGCGGCCGCCGCCACUGCCACCGCCUUGUCCGCUAGACGCCGGGGCUGCAUCUGCCUGCACCGCGCUGGGGGCGCUGGGCGGGGGACCGCCUGCACGUCGGGGACCAGGGAGUUUGACCCAGCAAGGGAGAGGCGGCCAGACCCGGGCCCGCGGGACCUCCCUGGGGACGGCGCUCCAGAGCUGGGCGGGUGGGGCUGGGCGGAGGACGAGUUAGGCUGCGGAGCAAAGGACAGGAGCAUUCCUAUAGGCGUCACCAAGAAUGAAGGGGACCCGCUGAGGUCAUGCAGACAAGUCUGUUUCUAAAUCCCAUCGGAAAGCUGAGUCAAGGGCGUCAUGCCUCAGUUUCCCCAUCUGUACAAGACAGUAACACAUAUGUCACCUACACAGGGUGUGGUGAAGACGAAAAAUGUAUUAUUAAAAUAGCACGUGGCUUAGAGAGGACACUAAAAGCUAAAAUUUGCUGUACAGAUACUCGGCGCUUUCCAUGUAUUUCUUCUGAAGCAUCUUCUUUGAGUUAGUCUUCUUUUAGGGGGAAAAUGUGUAAUGUUGAUAUGACUAUGCCCCAUAGUACUUGAAUGUGGCUAUCAAAACAUGGAAAAGAGCUACUUACUUUUAUAGCUUAACUAUAUUUAUGCAGGAAGUAAAAUAAUAAUCUUCACCCCAAGUAA